rnacentral:rRNA from 1 species
CAGGAAACCCCUGACAGUGUGGUGGAACCAUUUUUCUGUGGUUCUUACAUUGAAUCUGAGCCGACGUGCAUGAUGCAUCAUCAGAGGCCGAAGAAGAUGGUGGCUUUUGAAGGUGCUUUGACUGGGAGGUGAUUCCUGGGUUGUCCUGUGCAGCAGGAUGUAGGUGUGAACUGUGGGGUUGUGAAGUGGGUGGAUGGUCCUUGGCCAGAGAUUCUACAAAGGUGCCUAACAAGGAUUUGGGACAUGUACCAUGAGCAGAACUUGGGGAGGGUGAAGGACAAACAAGCCCAUGAGAAAGAGGUGGCCAAGCUACAGAAGGAAAUUGAUUUCCUGUCAAACAACUACAGCUAG